rnacentral:rRNA from 1 species
GAUGAACGCUGGCGGCGUGCCUAAUACAUGCAAGUCGAGCGAACGGACGAGAAGCUUGCUUUUCUGAUGUUAGCGGCGGACGGGUGAGUAACACGUGGAUAACCUACCUAUAAGACUGGGAUAACUUCGGGAAACCGGAGCUAAUACCGGAUAAUAUUUGGAACCGCAUGGUUCAAAAGUGAAAGACGGUCUUGCUGUCACCUAUCGAUGGAUCCGCGCUGCAUUAGCUAGUUGGUAAGGUAACGGCUUACCAAGGCAACGAUGCAUAGCCGACCUGAGAGGGUGAUCGGCCACACUGGAUCUGAGACACGGUCCAGACUCCUACGGGAGGCAGCAGUAGGGGAUCUUCCGCAGUGGGCGAAAUCCUGCCGGAGCAGCGCCGCGUGAGUGGUGAAGGUCUGCGGAUCGUAAAACUCUGUUAUUAGUGAAGAACAUUUGUGUAAGUCAAUGUGCACAUCUUGACGGUACCUAAUCAGAAAGCCACGGCUAACUACGUG